CUGCGGAGUCACAGCGCGCGCGGACGAGAGCGUCCGCUAGUGAGCCGGCGGCCCGGCUCCUCCAGUCCCAGACCUCCUCCAGCGGCUGGGGACAGAGGUUCGCGACGCUUCGUCCAUCACCUCUUCCUACUUUCGCCUUCGGAUCCUGCAGGAGGUCUAGGUCCUUCUUAGGUAUCCCCUCUGGGCUGAGGGGCCCGAAGUGAAUCCUGCGUGAAGCCUGAAUUGGGGGGGAGGGAGGAGUCGUGCCGGCAGGAUGCCGAGGCCUUGGCUGAGGUCUUUAUGUCUGGGCAGAAUCUCGGGGGCUCCCUGGAUCUGAUCAAGUGAGUGAGAGCUGGAGGGUCGCAGCGGCAGGGCCAGAGGGAGAGGGACGGAUUCCUCUCACAUACUGUCCCUGCUUUUCCCGCAAUGUCAGCCUCAUUUGCAUCCCCUGCAGCCUCAGCCGGAGCCGUGAGUGGCCUGUAAUGGCCCAGUCAGAGCCCCUCCCCUCUAUGCCCAACAAGAUUUCCAGGGAAGACUCCUGUUUCUGGCCCCAGAACCCCUGAGAUACCUGCCUUAAGGGAGAGUCUGACAAUUCCCAGGUCUAGGACCUCCAGACGGUGCUCCACAUCGCCCCACAAGUGGUUGUUCUGCCCUGUAUCAACUUUGAGCCACCCGGGGCCUGCCUCUAUCCCAUCCCCCUCAGCCCUGGGGGCCAGCUUCCCCAACAGCUGUUCCUUAUCACAGCAUUGCCCCACAUCUGUGGCCUGGAGGGCCUGUGGUUCCCACAGAGGCAAGGCUGGGAAAAGGCAGGGCAGAACAGAGGUUCUCCACCCCCAAAUGCCUUCCCUUGGGAGGCCCACUGAGGGAUGGGGAGACUGAGGCCCAGAAAUGAUGCCAUUUGGCCACCAGCUCCUCAGCACUAGAGCCUACAUAUACAUCAACCACUCACUCCAGGGCAGUCAGCACCCACCUGUCCUUGGAAAACUCAGACAAGACUCAAGGGGUGCUCUCCCCAGGUUCCCUGAAGAAGAGCCUUCCCUCAUACUCUUCAGGACACCCUGGUCAGCAUCCAAGAAGCAAGGUGGUUGGCUCUCUCAGGGGUCUCUCAAAUCUGGAAUUUCCUUAGUCAUGCAGAACGGGAGGGGGGGGGAGCAGAUUCCAGGAGUAACCCUGGCUACUCCUGGGAGCUGGGGGUCUUUUGGAGAUUCAGGAAACUCCUACACUGCCUUCUCACAGCUUUGUGCCUGUUACUGCUAACAGGCACAUACUGUUACUCCAGAAUGAAGGUGGCAUCCAUCCUACCCACUCUGGUUUCUCUAUCACCUUCCCUUGAGUCCCUGUUUUAGGCUCAUCUGCCCCCUGCGGACUAAGCCUCUAUCUCCAGACACUGGCUGGAGUGGGUCCCUAUGGCCUCACUGGGCUACAAAAACCCUGAAGGAUGGGUGGGCACACCUCAUGGGCCCAGAGCUUUGAGACCUAGAAAUCUCUGGUCCCAGGUCACAGCAGUGACCCACAGCUUUCACCCAUCAGUCCAUGGUCAGUAUUCUAACAAACCCAGACCACAUUUACUGAACUCAUGCUCUGUUCCAUUUAACCACAUCACUCCCCUACUUACCUUUGGUGACCUUCUUUCUUUAAAAUAAAAUCUAAGACCCAUUCCAUGGCCUGUGAGGCCCUGCUCUGUGGUCCAACCCCACUUCUACUCUCCCGUUAGCCCAGUACGUGCUGGCCAAGAUCGCCUUUCUCUGUUCUUUGAAUACACCUGUGUUUCUCUGCUUCUGGGCCUUUGCACAGGCCUUUUUCUCUGCUUGGAACUGGGUUGGAAGCCCUAUAAGGGGAGAGAUUGUGCUUGGUUUUGUUUGGCCCUAUAUCUUAGACCGGUAAACAAUAGAUACUCAAUAAGUGCCAGCUGUAAUAUGUCUUAAUAAACAAUUAUUGAAUAAA